GGCGUUGAAGCAUGAUCGUAAGGACAUGUGGAGCGCUUAGAAGUGAGAAUGCCGGUGUGAGUAGCGAAAGACGGGUGAGAAUCCCGUCCACCGAUUGACUAAGGUUUCCAGAGGAAGGCUCGUCCGCUCUGGGUUAGUCGGGUCCUAAGCUGAGGCCGACAGGCGUAGGCGAUGGAUAACAGGUUGAUAUUCCUGUACCACCUAUAAUCGUUUUAAUCGAUGGGGGGACGCAGUAGGAUAGGCGAAGCGUGCGAUUGGAUUGCACGUCUAAGCAGUAAGGCUGAGUAUUAGGCAAAUCCGGUACUCGUUAAGGCUGAGCUGUGAUGGGGAGAAGACAUUGUGUCUUCGAGUCGUUGAUUUCACA
rnacentral:rRNA from 1 species